ensembl:rRNA 5S_rRNA 5S ribosomal RNA
GCCUAUGGCCAAACCACAAACCACUCUGAGAACACCUGAUUUCAUCUGAUCUCAGAAGUUUAGCUGGGUCGAGCCUGGUUAGUAUUUGGAUGGAAGACUGCCUGAAAAUAUUGGGUGCUGUAGGUU